rnacentral:rRNA from 1 species
UCGUAGCAAUACGGGAGCGGCGAACGGCGUAGGAAUUCAUAGGAACGUACCCUCAGGACGGGGAUAGCUACGGGAAACUGUAGGUAAUACCCGAUGAUCUCCGCGGAGCAAAGGUGUGAUUCCGCCUGAGGAGCGGCUUAUGCGAUAUUAGCUAGUUGGCGAGGUAAUGGCUCACCAAGGCGAAGAUGUCUAGGGGGUGUGAGAGCAUGGCCCCCACGACCGGAACUGAGAUACUGUCCGGACACCUACGGGUGGCUGCAGUCGAGAAUCUUCCGCAAUGGACGAAAGUCUGACGGAGCGACGCCGCGUGCGGGAUGAAGGCCCUUGGGUUGUAAACCGCUGUCAGUUGGGAGGAAAUGCUGGGGGGUUCUCCCCUCAGUUUGACCGAUCUUCAGAGGAAGGACGGGCUAAGUUCGUGCCAGCAGCCGCGGUAAGACGAACCGUCCAAACGUUAUUCGGUAUCACUGGGCUUAAAGCGUGCGUAGGCGGCCUGGUAGGUGAGGUGUGAAAUCCCACGGCUCAACCGUGGAACUGCGCUUCAAACCACUAGGCUCGAGGAUGGCAGGGGUGAUGGGAACUGAUGGUGGAGCGGUGAAAUGCGUUGAUAUCAUCAGGAACACCGGUGGCGAAGGCGCAUCACUGGGCCAUUUCUGACGCUGAGGCACGAAAGCUAGGGUAGCGAACGGGAUUAGAUACCCCGGUAGUCCUAGCCGUAAACGAUG